UAGGGAAUAUUGGGCAAUGGGCGAGAGCCUGACCCAGCCAUGCCGCGUGCAGGAAGAAGGCUUUCUGAGUCGUAAACUGCUUUUGACAGGGAAGAAUAAGUACUACGUGUAGUACGAUGACGGUACCUGCAGAAUAAGCACCGGCUAACUCCGUGCCAGCAGCCGCGGUAAUACGGAGGGUGCGAGCGUUGUCCGGAUUUAUUGGGUUUAAAGGGUGCGUAGGCGGCCGUUUAAGUCUGGGGUGAAAGCCCGCUGCUCAACAGCGGAACUGCCCUGGAUACUGGAUGGCUUGAGUACAGACGAGGUUGGCGGAAUGGACAGAGUAGCGGUGAAAUGCAUAGAUACUGUCCAGAACCCCGAUUGCGAAGGCAGCUGACUAGGCUGUUACUGACGCUGAGGCACGAAAGCGUGGGAGCGAACAG
rnacentral:rRNA from 1 species